rnacentral:rRNA from 1 species
ACCAGACUCCUACGGGAGGCAGCAGUGGGGGAUAUUGCACAAUGGGGGAAACCCUGAUGCAGCGACGCCGCGUGGGCGAAGAAGUAUUUCGGUAUGUAAAGCCCUAUCAGCAGGGAAGAAGAAAUGACGGUACCUGACUAAGAAGCCCCGGCUAACUACGUGCCAGCAGCCGCGGUAAUACGUAGGGGGCAAGCGUUAUCCGGAUUUACUGGGUGUAAAGGGAGCGUAGACGGCAUGGCAAGUCAGAUGUGAAAGCCCGGGGCUCAACCCCGGGACUGCAUUUGAAACUGUCAGGCUGGAGUGCAGGAGAGGUAAGUGGAAUUCCUAGUGUAGCGGUGAAAUGCGUAGAUAUUAGGAGGAACACCAGUGGCGAAGGCGGCUUACUGGACUGUAACUGACGUUGAGGCUCGAAAGCGUGGGGAGCAAACAGGAUUAGAUACCCCCGUACA